UACGAGGGGGGCAAGCGUUGUUCGGAAUUAUUGGGCGUAAAGGGUGCGUAGGCGGUUCGUCGCGUCGGCUGUGAAAACCUGAGGCUCAACCUCAGGCCUGCAGUCGAUACGGGCGGACUUGAGUACUGCAGGGGAGACUGGAAUUCCUGGUGUAGCGGUGAAAUGCGCAGAUAUCAGGAGGAACACCGGUGGCGAAGGCGGGUCUCUGGGCCGAUACUGACGCUGGAGGAGCGAAAAGCCGUGGGGAGCGAACAGG
rnacentral:rRNA from 1 species